rnacentral:lncRNA from 1 species
GAGAAGUCUCAAAAAGAAAAUCCUUCAGAUGAUCCGCAUGCUGACAGAAGAAAACGACACAAGUCAGACAGCAUUUCGUUGACAUUUGAUGAAAGUCUCUCAUGGUGUGUAGUCAGUGGGCUGUGCCGUGAAAGAAGCAAUAGCAGCGAUUCAACAGAUUCUCUUUCCAUUCCUGAUCUCGAUGCCAGUUCACUAAGCGAAAACUCCGAUUGGUUUGACCAUAGU